ensembl:snRNA U6 U6 spliceosomal RNA
AUGCUCGCUUUGGUAGCACAUAUACUAAAAUUGGAACAAUGCAGAGAAGAUUAGCAUGGCCCCCGUGCAAGGAUGAUGUGCAAAUUCAUGAAGCUUCCAUAUUUUUA